rnacentral:rRNA from 1 species
GUGAGGAAUAUUGCGCAAUGGAGGCAACUCUGACGCAGCCAUGCCGCGUGCAGGAAGAAGGCGCUACGCGUUGUAAACUGCUUUUAACCGGGAAGAAACCCCAGGACGUGUCCUGGGUUGACGGUACCGGAGGAAUAAGCACCGGCUAACUUCGUGCUAGCAGCCGCGGUAAUACGAAGGGUGCAAGCGUUAUCCGGAUACAUUGGGUUUAAAGGGUGCGUAGGCGGAGCGUUAAGUCAGUGGUGAAAUCCUGCAGCUUAACUGUAGACUUGCCAGUGAUAAUGGCGCUCUAGAGUGCGCUUGAAGUGGGCGGAAUGUGCCGUGUAGCGGUGAAGUGCUUAGAUAUGGCGCAGAACACCAAUUGCGAAGGCAGCUCACUAAGGCGAUACUGACGCUGAGGCACGAAAGCGUGGGGAUCGAACAGGAUUAGAUACCCCGGUAGUCC